rnacentral:lncRNA from 1 species
UGGACCAUCCACAAUCGAUUGUCAAAGCCAAACAAUCGAUUGUUUGGUUUUAUGAAAUUUUUCUGGACCAUUCACAACCGAUUGUCAAAUCCAGACAAUCGAUUGUUUGGUUUUAUGAAAGUUACUGGACCAUCCACAAUCGAUUGUCGAAGCCAUACAAUCGAUUGUUUGGUUUUAUGAAAAAUUUGUUACUGGAGAGGUUUCAACUCACUGGACCUUGAACAAUCGAUUGUCAGAACCUGACAAUCGAUUGUCAGAAGCUGACAAUCGAUUGUCAUAACCUGACAAUCGAUUGUCAGAAGCUGACAAUCGAUUGUCAUAACCUGACAAUCGAUUGUCUGGUGUUCCAAAAAACUGCCAGAAUACAAAGUCACAGACAAUGGAUUGUGUAAGGCAACAAUCCAUUGUCAGAAGGCAGUGACCAAAAUUUUUUCUGAAUAACACAUGAUUUUCAACAUGAAUCUUAAACAUAAAAAACAUGUUGUUAACCUACUAAAAUCAUGCUAU